rnacentral:lncRNA from 1 species
GCAAAGGCCAAACAUAUGAAAACUCUCAUAUGAGUAUAUGUUGUUUUGGUUUCAAAUAAUAAUUUAAAUGGAGUUUUGUAUUCUAUUGCAAACGAAGGUGUUAUGUUAACUAGGUACAUAGUUGUGAAAACGAAAUCAGUCCAAUACCUCAAACUGAGUCCAAUUAAAAAUUUCAAGGCUCUAUCAAUGUUCAAUGUCUCUGGGUGUUUUGUUCAAGUAUCUCCAUAUAACUCUUUUGGUAGACAAUUCCCUUUCUUAGGUGGAAUUCUCUAAUCUCCAAUUCUCUCUCAUAUCACUGCGAAUAACCUUGAUUUUUAUGCUGAAUUGUGUCUCCACAAAGGGGUAAAAGUUUCCCAGGACAAAGCUAGCUUCAGACUUGGACUUGAAUAGAAAACCCAAGUAUGUUUGCAAAAAUCAUCCAUAAUAAAAAAAAAAAAUAUCUAUAGCCAUCCUUGGAAAUUUUACUGCCAAGCCUCCAAAUAUCACUGUGUAUGAGAUCAAAACAACUUUUAUAUUUAUGCUGACUCACUGGAAAUGGCAGUUUAUUAAAAACAGGGGCAGGAAAUGUAUAUAGCAAAAGUGGAAGUGAGACAAAGACAACACAAGAACAUGGGCAGAGUAUGAGGAACCGAGAGAGUUUAAUGGCAACCUGUGUUUGUAGUAAGGGAGAAGCAAAAGCAGACAUGGAUGCUUGUUUGUCAGUGAUGCUGAAAACGAGAAGGAGCCGGUUGAGAGGAGAGCCGCAUCAACCAGGCAAGAUGUGUUAGACCAAAUAGACUUUUAAAGCCAUUAGUUUGGAAAUAGAUGACCAGGAUAUGUUAUGCUUAAUUGUUUAGAAAGUAUAUUAGGUCAUAGUUUCUCGGUCCUAGCUUGAAGAGGAGACGAAUGAGUUUAAUGAGGUCAAGGUAAGAGUGGAUGAGAGGAGUGUUUUACUAAAGGAUAGGGCAUAGAAUGGUAAAGAGCCAAGAAAAGAGAGAAGACAUAAGAUAACCUAAAGGAGCUCAUUUGAAUUGAAUCUAGAUGAUUCUCAGGAGUCAUUUGCUUGGGUGUAAAGAAAGACUAUCGUAUCAAUGGGACCAGGGUACAAUGGAAGAUAGGGAAGAAGAUACUUAACUGGGUGACAAGGAAUUCUAGGCCUUUGUUGAUCAAUGAAAUGACCGGCAUGAAGAAGAAAUUGAUCAACAAUUAUCUACAUUCUUCUUAUUGUGGGAAAUCAAUGGUGUCUUUCAUUUGAAGUUUGUGUUUAUUGUUCAUUGACAUGAUA